rnacentral:tRNA from 1 species
AGGGGCUUAGGCUAACACCUCAGACCAAGGGCCUUCAAAGCCCUAAGCGGGGGUGAAAACCCCCCAGCCCCUG